AGAAUCAACGCUGGCGGCGUGCCUAACACAUGCAAGUCGAACGAGGCCCUGCCUUCGGGCAGGUGACCUAGUGGCGAACGGGUGAGUAACACGUGGGCAACCUACCCUCAGCUCUGGGAUAACCCCGGGAAACCGGAGCUAAUACCGGAUAUGACCUGGAACGACAUCGUUCUUGGUGGAAAGUUUUUCGGCUGAGGAUGGGCCCGCGGCCUAUCAGCUUGUUGGUGGGGUAAUGGCCUACCAAGGCGACGACGGGUAGCCGGCCUGAGAGGGCGAACGGCCACACUGGGACUGAGACACGGCCCAGACUCCUACGGGAGGCAGCAGUGGGGAAUAUUGCGCAAUGGGCGAAAGCCUGACGCAGCGACGCCGCGUGAGGGAUGGAAGGCCUUCGGGUUGUAACCUCUUUCAGCAGGGACGAAGCGAAGUGACGGUACCUGCAGAAGAGCACCGGCCACUACGCGCCAGCAGCCGC
rnacentral:rRNA from 1 species